rnacentral:rRNA from 1 species
GCCUGCCCAGUGACCAUGUGUUCAACGGCCGCGGUAUUCUGACCGCGCGAAGGUAGCGUAAUCACUUGUCUUCUAAAUAAAGACUAGUAUGAACGGCCACACGAAGACUUAACUGUCUCCCCUGUCCAAUCAGUGAAACUGAUCUCCUUGUGCAGAAGCGAGGAUAAACCCAUAAGACGAGAAGACCCUAUGGAGCUUUAAACUUAAUAUUAACUAUUUCUAUAAUCCCCUCUAAGGAAUAAACAAAUAACCCUUUUCAACUUAAUAUUAGUUUUAGGUUGGGGCGACCAUGGAGAAAAAAAUAUCCUCCCUGAUGACUUUUAAACCAAGAGCUACAGCUCUAAGUAUUAAGAUACUUAACUUCCAUUGACCCAUUUUAUGAUCAACGAACCAAGUUACCCUAGGGAUAACAGCGCAAUCCAUUUCAAGAGUCCCUAUCGACAAAUGGGUUUACGACCUCGAUGUUGGAUCAGGGCAUCCCAGUGGUGCAACCGCUACUAAUGGUUCGUUUGUUCAACGAUUAAAGCCCU